rnacentral:rRNA from 1 species
UUUAUGGAGAGUUUGAUCCUGGCUCAGGAUGAACGCUGGCGGCGUGCCUAAUACAUGCAAGUCGAGCGAACGGACGAGAAGCUUGCUUCUCUGAUGUUAGCGGCGGACGGGUGAGUAACACGUGGAUAACCUACCUAUAAGACUGGGAUAACUUCGGGAAACCGGAGCUAAUACCGGAUAAUAUUUUGAACCGCAUGGUUCAAAAGUGAAAGACGGUCUUGCUGUCACUUAUAGAUGGAUCCGCGCUGCAUUAGCUAGUUGGUAAGGUAACGGCUUACCAAGGCAACGAUGCAUAGCCGACCUGAGAGGGUGAUCGGCCACACUGGAACUGAGACACGGUCCAGACUCCUACGGGAGGCAGCAGUAGGGAAUCUUCCGCAAUGGGCGAAAGCCUGACGGAGCAACGCCGCGUGAGUGAUGAAGGUCUUCGGAUCGUAAAACUCUGUUAUUAGGGAAGAACAUAUGUGUAAGUAACUGUGCACAUCUUGACGGUACCUAAUCAGAAAGCCACGGCUAACUACGUGCCAGCAGCCGCGGUAAUACGUAGGUGGCAAGCGUUAUCCGGAAUUAUUGGGCGUAAAGCGCGCGUAGGCGGUUUUUUAAGUCUGAUGUGAAAGCCCACGGCUCAACCGUGGAGGGUCAUUGGAAACUGGAAAACUUGAGUGCAGAAGAGGAAAGUGGAAUUCCAUGUGUAGCGGUGAAAUGCGCAGAGAUAUGGAGGAACACCAGUGGCGAAGGCGACUUUCUGGUCUGUAACUGACGCUGAUGUGCGAAAGCGUGGGGAUCAAACAGGAUUAGAUACCCUGGUAGUCCACGCCGUAAACGAUGAGUGCUAAGUGUUAGGGGGUUUCCGCCCCUUAGUGCUGCAGCUAACGCAUUAAGCACUCCGCCUGGGGAGUACGACCGCAAGGUUGAAACUCAAAGGAAUUGACGGGGACCCGCACAAGCGGUGGAGCAUGUGGUUUAAUUCGAAGCAACGCGAAGAACCUUACCAAAUCUUGACAUCCUUUGACAACUCUAGAGAUAGAGCUUUCCCCUUCGGGGGACAAAGUGACAGGUGGUGCAUGGUUGUCGUCAGCUCGUGUCGUGAGAUGUUGGGUUAAGUCCCGCAACGAGCGCAACCCUUAAGCUUAGUUGCCAUCAUUAAGUUGGGCACUCUAAGUUGACUGCCGGUGACAAACCGGAGGAAGGUGGGGAUGACGUCAAAUCAUCAUGCCCCUUAUGAUUUGGGCUACACACGU